AUACGGAGGGUGCAAGCGUUACUCGGAAUCACUGGGCGUAAAGCGCGCGCAGGCGGGCUGAUAAGUUGGAUGUGAAAGCCUACGGCUCAACCGUAGAACUGCAUCCAAAACUGUCAGUCUAGAGUGUGGGAGAGGAAGAUGGAAUUAGUUGUGUAGGGGUAAAAUCCGUAGAGAUAACUAGGAAUACCAAAAGCGAAGGCAAUCUUCUGGAACACUUCUGACGCUGAGGCGCGAAGGCGUGGGGAGCAAACAGGAUUAGAUACCCCAGUAGUCC
rnacentral:rRNA from 1 species